rnacentral:rRNA from 1 species
AGAGUUUGAUCAUGGCUCAGGAUGAACGCUAGCUACAGGCUUAACACAUGCAAGUCGAGGGGCAGCAUGUUGGUUGCUUGCAACCAAUGAUGGCGACCGGCGCACGGGUGAGUAACGCGUAUCCAACCUACCCUUGUCCAUCGGAUAACCCGUCGAAAGGCGGCCUAACACGAUAUGCGGUUCACAGCAGGCAUCUAAGGUGAACGAAAUGUGAAGGAGAAGGAUGGGGAUGCGUCUGAUUAGCUUGUUGGCGGGGUAACGGCCACCAAGGCGACGAUCAGUAGGGGUUCUGAGAGGAACGGUCCCCCACAUUGGAACUGAGACACGGUCCAAACUCAUACGGGGAGCA